CCUACGGGAGGCAGCAGUAGGGAAUAUUGCUCAAUGGGGGAAACCCUGAAGCAGCAAAGCCGCGUGGAGGAUGAAGGUUUUCGGAUUGUAAACUCCUUUUGUUAGAGAAGAUAAUGACGGUAUGUAACGAAUAAGCAACGGCUAACUCCGUGCCAGCAGCCGCGGUAAUAGGGAGGGUUCAAGCGUUACUCGGAAUCACUGGGCGUAAUGAGCGCGUAGGCGGGAUAGCAAGGCAGAUGUGAAAUCCUAUGGCUUAACCAUAGAACUGCAUUUGAAACUGUUAUUCUAGAGUAUGGGAGAGGUAGGUGGAAUGCUUGGUGUAGGGGUAAAAUCCGUAGAGAUCAAGAGGAAUACUCAUUGCGAAGGCGACCUGCUAGAACAUAACUGACGCUGAUGCGCGAAAGCGUGGGGAGCAAACAGGAUUAGAUACCCCGGUAGUC
rnacentral:rRNA from 1 species